rnacentral:tRNA from 1 species
CACGCAUGUGGGGAAAAGGUGCUCCUUAGAUCCUUCGUUAGGAUCAAUUUCGGUUCAACCCCACGCAUGUGGGG